rnacentral:lncRNA from 1 species
UAGCUUAUUCCCUAUAUUUGUCGGAUCGUUGGCACUAUCCAUUAAUUCCAAACUCUCGAGCUAUUAGAAAUACACAAUCAAUUCACUUAAAGCAGACAGAUACAGCGCCCACGGGUCUCGUUUGUGACUCGGCCCAACCAGCCUCACGCCAUUUCGAACAUAACUCGGCCCACCCAGCCUCAUGCUAUUUCGAACAUGACUCGGUUCAACAUGGCCUCCCGCCAUAGGAUAGGAUGCUGGCCCAUUUAAGUUAAUAAUAUCUUCAUAAUUUAUAUGAAAAUUUUGUAUAUUUGGUAGAAAAAAAUAUGAUCAAAUGUGUAGAAUUGAAAAUCAUAUUCGAUCUUCAAGUUAAUUUUUUUGGAUAAGAUAAAUUAUCUCGUAAUUGAAAUAUAUUACCCUAUCAAAUUAUGAAUG